AUGAUCUCUGGUCUCUUGGUGAAGGGAGCAAACACCACAAGUAUUAUCAAUAUUCAUCCCCCAUCGAGAAAGUCUCCCUUUAGUAGGCAGGCGAUCUAAAUUUGCAGUCCACAUGUUGAAGGCAUGCCUUGGAGUGGCACCUUUGAACCAAACUGAGCUAUACCAAUCCACAGCGUUUUCUCUCGGCCUAAGGACAGACCAGGUGCCUUUAGAAGAGAAGCCAUCAACAAUUUUACCAUCAAUACUCCAGUCGUAAGAGUCAGUUUCCAGAGAUUCUAUAGGCAAGUUGAUGGUGGUGAGGAAAGUAUGUAGACGCAGAGCCUCAUCAGAUCUAGGAUUUGCGAGAGUCCAUCCAUCUAGAUUACAAGAGUCGCUGACUUUAGCAUUGAGAGGAACCCUUAAGCUCCUUGGACCAUCGGGACCAAUAAACUUGAUAAGAGGACCGAAGAUAGUCCAAUUAUCAAACCAAAAACUGGCUCUUCUACCAUUUCCAAUAGUGCAUUUGACAAAAUUCUCAGCCAAGACUCUUAGCCUUAGUAUACUCUUCCAGCUCCAAGGAUCGUUGGCCUUUUCUACUUGGUUCCAGAAACUGGUAGUUGUUAGAGGUUAAUUGAGUUUGGUCGCUUGCUUUAUUUAAUUAUGUUUGUUUGUUAAGUUUAUACAUUAAGAGGUGUGUCUUGUCUUAAGGGUAGUUAUGUUAAGAGUUAGAAGUGAAGAGUCACAACCCUUGUUAUUAGUGUUGUUUGGUCGUGUCUUUUGAAUACUAUAAGAACACGUUGUCUUUGUUUGUAACACAAAAAAAUUCAGAUUCUCAAUUAAUAAAGUUUCAGUUUUCACAACUCUGUUUCUGUCUCUCUCGUCAAGUCUCUCUGUUUAUUUAUCAAAGUCCUUUGAUAAUCCAACAUGGUAUCAGAGCUCUAUUGAUUCGAGGGCCAAUUCGAGUACAAAGACAAGAAAAAUUCAGAAAAGAAGUUCUAUCAAAAAUCUGAGAUCAUGGAAGCAACAACGCUUCAAGUGAUUCCCAUAUUUGAUGGGAAUAAUUAUGCUUUCUGGCGGAUUAAGAUGAAGACCAUCUUAAGAACACGGAAGUUGUGGGAAGUGGUGGAGACUGGUGUUCCAACUAUGCCGACGCAAGGAGAUCACAGUCCAGAAGCCGUUCAAUUGAAAACCAAAUGGGAGAAUUCAUCAUCAAAAGAUCUGAUGGCGUUGCAACUGUUGCAAACUGCUGUCACGGAUCAGAUUUUUCCUCGGAUAGCACCAGCAGCCACAUCAAAGGAUGCUUGGGAUGCAUUGGUGUCAGAAUUUGAAGGAUCUCCACAAGUACGAUUGAUCAACUUGCAAUCGUUGAGAAGGGAGUAUGAAAACUUGAAGAUGAAUGAAGAAGACAACAUCAAAGUUUUCACAGAAAAGUUAAUUGAUUUGGGAAAUCAAUUAAGGGUGCAUGGAGAAGAGAAGACGGACUACCAAAUUGUCCAGAAGAUUCUCAUAUCUCUCCCCGCAAGGUUUGACAGCAUAGUGGCUGUGAUGGAGCAAACGAAGGAUCUAACUUCGUUGCCGGUAACAGAGUUGAUAGGUACUUUAAAAGCGCAUGAGAAACGCGUAAAUAUCAGAGAAGACCGAUCAACGGAAGGAGCAUUCUAUGGAGAAAAGUUUGUUUCAAAAGGAAGAAACAAACGUGGCGACAAUAGUCAAAAUAAGGCCGAGAAAUGGUGUGACUUUUGUACGUGUGACAAUCACAAUGAGAGUGAUUGUUGGAGAAAGCAACACAGGGAUGUUAGCUUGCCUACGGGUGUAAGGUGCUUUGCGUGUAAGAAGCUAGGGCACGUGGUGAAGAACUGCAAGGUUAGGAAGGCCGAGAGAGCGUACCUAAGUCUAGAAGAAACAGACGAAGAGAGUGACAAUGAAGGUCACAUGCUGUUCAGUGCAGUUGAAGUAGCAUCAUCAUCAAACGUGAAUGAUGAGAGAGGGUUUGAAGACUCAACGUAUCAAGGGUUGAAGAACUGAGAAGCAAGUGUGGUGUGAGACCGAAACUCAAUUAAGGGGGAGUGUUAGAGGUUAAUUGAGUUUGGUCGCUUGCUUUAUUUAAUUAUGUUUGUUUGUUAAGUUUAUACAUUAAGAGGUGUGUCUUGUCUUAAGGGUAGUUAUGUUA
rnacentral:lncRNA from 1 species